CAUAUUUUCGCGGGAUUUUAACAGGAAGUCGGAUUGCCCAUGCGCAUUAUUUAAACGCGUCUUUCCUGUAUUUCAAAAAGAAUAACAAAGGACGAGGUUGCAGAGAAACUUUCCGUUUAUCACGCAUAUUUAUGUUUCUUGUCAAACAAAUCAUUGGCUGUAAUGCAUCAAGUGGAGCAAAAUCAAAAAUCAGUUUUGGGAAUGCCAGUCUUUAAAAUCAUCAAAGAAGUUAAAUAUACUGCAAAAGUAUAAAGAUGUCAUUGGGAAAUACACAUCUGAUAAAGACCCCUCCUGCUUAAAGUCUACCGCAGAAAUAUCUCGAAGUGGUGGAAGAAUGAUGACACGCAAUAAGGACAAACAGAGACAAAGAUAACAAAUGAAUUUAUAAAAUAAAUAUUGUAUCAAAAGAAA